rnacentral:rRNA from 1 species
GACGAACGCUGGCGGCGUGCUUAACACAUGCAAGUCGAGCGAUGAAACACCUUCGGGUGCGGAUUAGCGGCGAACGGGUGAGGAACACGUGAGGAAUCUGCCUUCCACUCUGGGAUAACUCCGGGAAACCGGGGCUAAUACCGGAUACUUUCAACUGGCUGCAUCGCCGGUUGAAGAAAGAUUUUCGGUGGAAGAUGACCUCGCGGCCUAUAAGCUUGUUGGUGAGGUAAAGGCUCUCCAAGGCGACCACGGGUAGCCGGCCUGGCGCGGGCGACCGGCCACACUAGGACUGAGACACGGCCCAGACUCCUACUGGAGGCAGCAGUGGGGAAUAUUGGGCAAUGGAGGAAACUCUGACCCAGCGACGCCGCGUGAGGGAUGAAGGCCUUCGGGUUGUAAACCUCUUUCAGCAGGGAAUAAGCGAAAGUGAAGUUACCUGCAGAAGAAGCACCGGCUAUCUAUGUGCCAGCAGCCGCCGUAA